UAAGAGAGUUUGAUCCUGGCUCAGGAUGAACGCUAGCGGCAGGCUUAACACAUGCAAGUCGAACGAUAUAGUGGCAGACGGGUGAGUAACGCGUGGAAACGUGCCUUUCACUACGGAAUAGCUUUUGGAAACGAAAGGUAAUACCGUAUACGCCCUCCGGGGGAAAGAUUUAUCGGUGAAAGAUCGGUCCGCGUUAGAUUAGCUAGUUGGUGAGGUAACGGCUCACCAAGGCUACGAUCUAUAGCUGGUCUGAGAGGAUGAUCAGCCACACUGGGACUGAGACACGGCCCAGACUCCUACGGGAGGCAGCAGUGGGGAAUCUUGGACAAUGGGCGCAAGCCUGAUCCAGCCAUGCCGCGUGAGUGAUGAAGGCCUUAGGGUCGUAAAGCUCUUUCGCCAGGGAUGAUAAUGACAGUACCUGGUAAAGAAACCCCGGCUAACUCCGUGCCAGCAGCCGCGGUAAUACGGAGGGGGUUAGCGUUGUUCGGAAUUACUGGGCGUAAAGCGCACGUAGGCGGACUUUUAAGUCAGAUGUGAAAUCCCGAGGCUCAACCUCGGAACUGCAUUUGAAACUGGGAGUCUAGAGAUCAGGAGAGGUUAGUGGAAUACCGAGUGUAGAGGUGAAAUUCGUAGAUAUUCGGAGGAACACCAGUGGCGAAGGCGGCUCACUGGCUCGAUACUGACGCUGAGGUACGAAAGUGUGGGGAGCAAACAGGAUUAGAUACCCUGGUAGUCCACACCGUAAACGAUG
rnacentral:rRNA from 13 species